rnacentral:misc_RNA from 1 species
AUUCUUUUUACUUUUGUGCUUCACCUAGCUUAGGCACGCGCCUAUGCAUUGUGCCUAAGCUCCAAGACCCCUUGGCACCUUAGGGCACCUUGAGACUUCAAUAACUAUACUUCACUCUUGAACAGCAAAUCUGCAAAUGGGUUGCACUGCAAGCUAAUGCAAAUGGCACAGUGAACUUAGAACUGACAAUAUAGUGGUGAAAGGGAGCUGGGGAGGAGGAAGACUGGCGUGCAUUUGUACUGGUCACUGGUGUUGAGACCAGAACAAGAGAGUGAGGGGCAAAGGGAGGGCGCGAGAUAGCGACAAGCGCCGGGCAAGGGAGAGAGACAACUGUCUACAGGAGACCCAAAGCGAGAAACAGAGAGUGAGAAUGAGACUUAGGGUUGGCAACGGGCAAGGUACCCACAAAUUUAAAACUAUCUGAACCCAAAUCCAUGUAGUAUAUCUACUAUCUGAACCUGUCCCAAACCCAACUAGAAUAUAUAUUUUGCUACUCAUACUCAUCCCAAAUCCAAUUACUAUUACACGCAAACUAUACGUACAUGCCCGAAUUCAAAUCUUUUGUUGUAAUUUGCAUACAAAAUAACAACACAAAGUAAGGAGGAAGGAGGAAACUCUAAAAUAAAAAUUUCACCAUCCAUGUCUAUUUUCUG